AGUGAACGCUGGCGGUAGGCCUAACACAUGCAAGUCGAACGGCAGCACAGUAAGAGCUUGCUCUUACGGGUGGCGAGUGGCGGACGGGUGAGGAAUACAUCGGAAUCUACCUUUUCGUGGGGGAUAACGUAGGGAAACUUACGCUAAUACCGCAUACGACCUACGGGUGAAAGCAGGGGAUCUUCGGACCUUGCGCGAUUGAAUGAGCCGAUGUCGGAUUAGCUAGUUGGCGGGGUAAAGGCCCACCAAGGCGACGAUCCGUAGCUGGUCUGAGAGGAUGAUCAGCCACACUGGAACUGAGACACGGUCCAGACUCCUACGGGAGGCAGCAGUGGGGAAUAUUGGACAAUGGGCGCAAGCCUGAUCCAGCCAUACCGCGUGGGUGAAGAAGGCCUUCGGGUUGUAAAGCCCUUUUGUUGGGAAAGAAAAGCAGCAGGUUAAUACCCCGCUGUUCUGACGGUACCCAAAGAAUAAGCAUCGGCUAACUUCGUG
rnacentral:rRNA from 1 species